GAUGAACGCUGGCGGCGUGCCUAAUACAUGCGAGUCGAGCGAACAGACGAGGAGCUUGCUCCUCUGACGUUAGCGGCGGACGGGUGAGUAACACGUGGAUAACCUACCUAUAAGACUGGGAUAACUUCGGGAAACCGGAGCUAAUACCGGAUAAUAUAUUGAACCGCAUGGUUCAAUAGUGAAAGACGGUUUUGCUGUCACUUAUAGAUGGAUCCGCGCCGCAUUAGCUAGUUGGUAAGGUAACGGCUUACCAAGGCAACGAUGCGUAGCCGACCUGAGGGGGGGUAGGCCCACAGUGAAAGUGACCCGCGUCACAGCCCCUGAGGGGAGGCAGAAGGAGGGACUUUACGGAAAGGGGGGAAAGAUUGCAGGAGCAGCGGCGGGGGGAUGAAGAAGCUCUUCGGACGGGAAAACUGUGUUCUUGGGGAAAAACAAAUUUGCAAGUAACUAAGCAUGUUUGACGGGAACCAAUAAAGAAACACCGGCUAACUUCGUG
rnacentral:rRNA from 1 species